rnacentral:rRNA from 1 species
AGUGGGGAAUAUUGGACAAUGGGCGCAAGCCUGAUCCAGCAAUGCCGCGUGUGUGAAGAAGGCCUGCGGGUUGUAAAGCACUUUCAGUAGAGAAGAAAAGCCUGGGGUUAAUACCCCCGGGUCUUGACGUAACCUACAGAAGAAGCACCGGCUAACUCCGUGCCAGCAGCCGCGGUAAUACGGAGGGUGCGAGCGUUAAUCGGAAUUACUGGGCGUAAAGCGCGCGUAGGCGGCGAGGUCAGUCGAAUGUGAAAGCCCCGGGCUUAACCUGGGAAUUGCAUUCGAUACUGCCUGGCUAGAGUAUGGGAGAGGGAAGUGGAAUUUCCGGUGUAGCGGUGAAAUGCGUAGAUAUCGGAAGGAACACCAGUGGCGAAGGCGACUUCCUGGCCCAAUACUGACGCUGAGGUGCGAAAGCGUGGGUAGCGAACAGGAUUAGAUACCCUGGUAGUCCACGCCGUAAACGAUGAGAACUAGAUGUCGGGAGGAUUUACCUCUCGGUGUCGCAGCU